CGUCUUGAAACACGGACCAAGGAGUCUAGCAUGUGCGCGAGUCAUUGGGACACGACUAAACCUAAAGGCGCAAUGAAAGUAAAGGUCCGCCUUGUGCGGACCGAGGGAAGAUGGGUGGUCCUUCGUGACCGCCUCGCACUCCCGGGGCGUCUCGUUCUCAUCGCGAGGAGAGGCGCACCAAGAGCGCACACGCUGGGACCCGAAAGAUGGUGAACUAUGCCUGGUCAGGACGAAGUCAGGGGAAACCCUGAUGGAGGUCCGUAGCGAUUCUGACGUGCAAAUCGAUCGUCGGAACUGGGUAUAGGGGCGAAAGACUAAUCGAACCAUCUAGUAGCUGGUUCCCUCCGAAGUUUCCCUCAGGAUAGCUGGCGCUCGUCGCGCACGAGUCUCAUCCGGUAAAGCGAAUGAUUAGAGGCAUUGGGGUCGAAACGGCCUCAACCUAUUCUCAAACUUUAAAUGGGUGAGAUCUCCGGCUUGCUCGAACUAUUGAAGCCGCGAGACACGGAUCAGAGUGCCAAGUGGGCCAUUUUUGGUAAGCAGAACUGGCGCUGUGGGAUGAACCAAACGCCGAGUUAAAGCGCCUAAAUCGACGCUUAUGGGAUACCAUGAAAGGCGUUGGUAACUUAAGACAGCAGGACGGUGGCCAUGGAAGUCGGAAUCCGCUAAG
rnacentral:rRNA from 1 species